UUUAAACACAAAUACAUAUAGAAAUUUUCAUGUUAUUACAUGGAAACUAGUUGUAAUACAGUUGUGUCAAAUGACUCCCAGUAUACAAUUAUAAUCUGUUAUCUUGCAUAUUAUUAUUUAACACAGACUCAGUUGCAUAUAUCAUAGUGGACUUGGAAGCACCGAACGAGUACGGAUGCUGAUCAAAUUUUUUCUGAUCGCACAGAUCGUGCUGUCGAGGACCGGAUUCGUCGACGCAGGGUCUGAGCAUGCACUGCAUCAGGCCUAUCUACUGCUACCUCCGGCUGUCUGCCCUGCUGGCUUCAUCGGACAAAACAAGUCGCAGGAAGCUGUGCCACGUGCACUGCACUGGGACCACCUGACCAGCACGGUGACGUCGACGGAGACAUCGUGGCACCCGGAUAAAAGCAGCAGCCUUUUCGACGUUCCCUUCAGUGGACUUGGAAGCACCGAACGAGCACGGAUGCUGAUCAAAUUUUUUCUGAUCGCACAGGCGAUCUUUGGAAACUUCAGUGAUACCUGACGACUGGCGAAGGGCCAAAGUAAUACCUGUGCACAAAUCUGGCUCUAAACUCGACUUUCUUCCUCUGGGCUUAAGUGGGACGCUUCUCCAUCAUUGGUGCGAAAGUGCCUCCAGAACCUUCCGGGAUUAUUAGUAAGAAAGCUCGGUAAC
rnacentral:lncRNA from 1 species